UAGGGAAUCUUCCGCAAUGGGCGAAAGCUUGACGGAGCAACGCCGCGUGAGUGAUGAAGGUCUUCGGAUCGUAAAACUCUGUUAUUAGGGAAGAACAAAUGUGUAAGUAACUAUGCACGUCUUGACGGUACCUAAUCGGAAAGCCACGGCUAACUACGUGCCAGCAGCCGCGGUAAUACGUAGGUGGCAAGCGUUAUCCGGAAUUAUUGGGCGUAAAGCGCGCGUAGGCGGUUUUUUAAGUCUGAUGUGAAAGCCCACGGCUCAACCGUGGAGGGUCAUUGGAAACUGGAAAACUUGAGUGCAGAAGAGGAAAGUGGAAUUCCAUGUGUAGCGGUGAAAUGCGCAGAGAUAUGGAGGAACACCAGUGGCGAAGGCGACUUUCUGGUCUGUAACUGACGCUGAUGUGCGAAAGCGUGGGGAUCAAACAGG
rnacentral:rRNA from 1 species